rnacentral:sRNA from 1 species
CGGCUACAGAUUCUGUUUGUCAUCUGCUGGAAAUGUCCACGAUGGAUUUAAUUUUAAAAAACUUUUUUCUUUCCCAAUUUAGGGAAUACCCACUCUGGUCUACAGACACGACCGGAACUAUGAACAUCUCUUUAUGGACAUCAAGAACAAAAUGGCGCAGGUGAUCCCGAUGAACCUGAUCCUGUGCACGGGGCUUUCUGCCUUCUCAGUUUUUUCCUCCAUGUUAGGCCUACUCCAGCCUUGCCCCAGGUGUUUGCUGUGAGCCACAGUUUCUGCGGCCUCCCUGAGGACCCCAGGGGGCUCCCUUGCAGAGGGCAAGCAAGACAGCAAAUCAGCAAGUUUUCUUGUAGAGUAAAAGGAGAUUGACAUCUCAUGGGUUCAAUUCUUAGGAAUGAUGUCAUGGCCAUGCCUGCUGAAGCGGAAAGUCCAUGGAACCGAUUUGUUCCUGCUCUCUGCAUGCGGGUAUUGAUAGGUAGACCUGUGUGUCUCCAUGGCCUCCAGGAACUGCCUGCACACAGUGCGCCCAAGUGUCAACUAUUAGAGAGUUGACCCCACAUGUGGCUUGGGCAGUGAAGGGGCUCAGCUCUCUUACCAGGUGGUGAGACACCAGAAACCCAGCCCAUAGACAUCCCUCUCCUGCUUUUCAUUUCCCAGGACUCCCUCCCCAGCUCGGUCAUUAGUGCCAUCAGUGGACAGCUGCAGUCCUACAGCGAUGCCUGUGAAGCGCUGUCUGUCGUAGAAGUCACUCUGGGGUUUCUGAGCACAGCUGGUGGGGAUCCAAACAUGCACCUGAAUGUGUAUACUCAAGACAUCCUGCAAAUGGGUGAUCAGACGACUCACGUGUUAAAGGCGUUAAACAGAUGCCAGUUAAAACACACCAUUGCCCUCUGGCAGUUCCUAUCUGCUCAUA